rnacentral:tRNA from 1 species
AAAUUUUUAGGUUAUUAAACCAUUAGCCUUCAAAGCUAAAAUUACUUAUGUAAAAUUUA